UGGCGUCAUUGCUGAGCCUACGAUAACAAUCAAACGGCUAGAAUGAACUAUUGGUGGCGUGAGAACCUCGAGAAGCUUCGAGAUGUAAGUUGUAACGUAACGUUCCUUCCUAUUGCAUUCAAAUACUAGAUAGGCUUUUUAGUUGUACAUGUGAGAGACAGAGGCAAAUCGCAGGUUCGUGCGUGAAUCUAAUCAAAGUUUCUCAUUAACUUCUGCGUUAGAUUCACGCACAAACUUGUCAUUUCCCUUUUCUUAACCUUUUUUUUUUCCUUUUCCGUCAAAACUUUGUUUGUUACAUUCGACUUCGAAUUCAGAUUCAGAUUUCUCUGUUUAGUGCUCCUCAAACCGAUGACGCCGCGGCUUGUUAGCUUCUGGCUCCGCUACGGCAUCUCAACUCCGCCAACCAGGUUAGUCGGAGUCCAACCGAACCAAACGUGUACCAUUCCUGAAGAACAUUAUCCAAUUGUUGCAAGUAGAAGGAACACCAAUGCACAAUAAGGUGAUGCACUUUCAACGUUUUGCCACGAGCCAACAAGGUUUGGCUAAUCAUGGGAGUCUAAUUGGCAUGAUGAAUAUAAUUUAAUUCUAUUUUGACAAUAAUAGUUUUUAAAUCAUCGUGAGUAACUUUCUUUACGACCAUUGUAACGAGGUGGAACAAAGCUUUCACAAUGAGGAUACGUGUUGCACACCUACAAA